rnacentral:rRNA from 1 species
AGUGAACGCUGGCGGCGUGCCUAAUACAUGCAAGUCGAACGAAGUGGCGCACGGGUGAGUAAUAUAUAGUUAAUCUGCCCUACCCAGCGGAACAACAGUUGGAAACGACUGCUAAUACCUCAUAGUGUAGGAUGAGACUAUAUCGUAUCAGCUAGUUGGUAGGGUAAUGGCUUACCAAGGCUAUGACGCGUAACUGGUCUGAGAGGAGGAUCAGUCACAUUGGAACUGGGACACGGCCCAACAUCAUACUGGAGGGAGCAGGAAGGAAGAGUGGCCAAUGGGGGAAACCCUGACGCAGCAACGCCGCUUGGAGGAUUAAACUUGUCGGAGCGUAAACUCCUUUUAUUAGGAAAGCGGUACCUGAUGAAUACGCACCGGCUAACUCCGUGCCAGCAGCCGCGGUAAUUC